rnacentral:rRNA from 1 species
CGUACACUCCUGCGGGAGGCAGCAGUAGGGAAUCUUCCACAAUGGGUGCAAACCUGAUGGAGCAAUGCCGCGUGAGUGAAGAAGGUCUUCGGAUCGUAAAGCUCUGUUGUUAGAGAAGAACACGUGCUAGGUAACUACUAGCGCCUUGACGGUAUCUAACCAGAAAGUCACGGCUAACUACGUGCCAGCAGCCGCGGUAAUACGUAGGUGACAAGCGUUGUCCGGAUUUAUUGGGCGUAAAGGGAGCGCAGGCGGUCUGUUUAGUCUAAUGUGAAAGCCCACGGCUUAACCGUGGAACGGCAUUGGAAGCUGACAGACUUGAAUGUAAAAGAGGAAAAUGGAAUUCCAAGUGUAGCGGUGGAAUGCGUAGAUAUUUGGAGGAACACCAGUGGCGAAGGCGAUUUUCUGGUCUAACAUUGACGCUGAGGCUCGAAAGCGUGGGGAGCGAACAGGAUUAGAAACCCGUGUAGUCCCAUGA